UAGGGAAUCUUCGGCAAUGGGGGCAACCCUGACCGAGCAACGCCGCGUGAGUGAAGAAGGGUUUCGGCUCGUAAAGCUCUGUUGUUAAGAAGAACACGUAUGAGAGUAACUGUUCAUACGUUGACGGUAUUUAACCAGAAAGUCACGGCUAACUACGUGCCAG
rnacentral:rRNA from 1 species